ACGGAGGGUGCAAGCGUUGUUCGGAAUUACUGGGCGUAAAGGGCGCGUAGGCGGUUGUGUAAGUCAGAUGUGAAAUCCUUCGGCUCAACCGGAGAACUGCAUUUGAUACUGCAUGACUCGAGUACUGGAGAGGGAAACGGAAUUCCCGGUGUAGAGGUGAAAUUCGUAGAUAUCGGGAGGAACACCGGUGGCGAAGGCGGUUUCCUGGCCAGAUACUGACGCUGAGGCGCGAAAGCGUGGGUAGCAAACAG
rnacentral:rRNA from 1 species